rnacentral:lncRNA from 1 species
CAUGGUUACAAAGAAUAUGAUUUUUUUAAGGUUUUUAUUGUUACUUCUUUAAGUUUUUAUUUCAUGUUUUAAAACAAAAACCUGUUUGUUGUAGGGCAUUUAGAAAAUAUAGGAAGGACUCUUUCCUUCUGAAGGAUUGUUUUAGAUAUAACAAAGAAUGCCAUACCCCAGUACACCCCCACACCCCCACACACAGUCAAUGGGUCAAUGGCCACAGUUUCUCCACAACUGUUUACUUGAGAUUUUGCAUUCUUAGAAAUUCUCAUGGAACCGCCUUGCCUACAGUUCAUGAAAAACAGCGUGGGUCGUGGAGAGCAAUGGCCCCUGCUUCUGGCUGGCCAUCACAUGAGAGAAUAAGAAAACAAUGGCUGGACCCUUUAGGGACCUCAUCUCUCUGGAGACCCCCAAUAGUUUUGGAGAAAUAACUUGUGCUUUCCAGUCGCCACAAGGACCCAGUCCUUGACCUUGAGGGGGAAUGUCCUUGGUUACUUUUCAUCCUUUUUGUUCCUUGACAGAACAUGUUCCCAGGCCGAUGCCUGAGGUGGCUCCAGCUAAAUUGCCAACUCUUUCCAGAGUCACUACGACGUACCAAGAGCGCUGGGGUGAACAGAACAUGGUCCUUGCCCAGUCCAUCUCUGCUGUCUCUCUCUCUCCUGCAACGCAUCAACCUGCUAAACCCCUUUACUGCACCGUAGAGGGUCUCAGAGAGGCUGCAGGUGCGUGAGCAUCAGCACGGAUCAGGAGUCAGAAAAACUUAGGCUGGGGCCCAGGGAAACCACUUACCAGCUACAUGACCUUGGCAGGGGUUCCUAUAACUCCUCGGAAGCUCUUUGCUCCGUGAGGUUGUGAUAAUAAUCCCUGCCUUGCGUAUCUUGAAGGACUUUGGCAAGGAAAAACGCGUUGUGCAUGCGAAAGAGCUCAGAAAAUGGUAAGUUGCCAUGCAGUGUAAGUAAUUUUCUAGUAUAUUGUUCC